rnacentral:other from 1 species
GGUUCCCUGCGGUGCUCGUGAUAAAUGGUAAACUUAGAGCCAACACCUCUUUUUUGGGAGCUUUCUCUUGUUGUGGUGUGCAAGCUCGCCACAUGAACGAGAAGCCAAAAACAACAAAAAGGCGCCCACCUUUUUGAGAGGUUCAAGAUCUAUCGUUUACACGGCACUCGCGGGGUUUAA